rnacentral:lncRNA from 1 species
GGAUGUAGAUAUUUUACCCCAGAUAUGAAAAUGCCCACAACUAUAUUCCGCACACAAAUAUCUAGAAUCCAUUCACACCCUUCCGAAUGAAACCAUCGCAGUCCACAACUACUACCUUCCGCGUACAAACAUCUGAAAGUGAUUUAAACACUUCUGGAUCAACGCAGCAAACAACUUGAUUCCGCACAACAAUAUCCAGAAGUCACAAAAUGAUUUCCGCCUAAAAAUGUCCGCAACGCAACGCACACGCAUACCU